CUUUGAUGCCCUCCACGCGGUAGAACUAUCAAUAUUUGCUAAAUGAUUCUCACAAAUCCUUGUCCAUGCAUGCACCGCGGUGCCGAAGCCGCUGGUCUCACAAGCAAGUCUAAGAAAUAAAAGAGGCCUUAAUGAGAUGCCCUGAGCCAUUUCCCUGUACGUGCAACAAGGCCGCAGAUGUAGUGUCUCAAGUCCCGAGGGGUUCCCUCCAUGGAAUUUCAUCAGCAAAGACUCGAGCCAGACCUCCUCCACUGAGGGGUGUGGAGCAAAGUGACGGACGUGGGACUAAGGAUUGGGGAUCUCAUAUUGGAUACUAGAUGGAGAAGAAAGGAUGGUGAUUGGUUCUAAGGUGCCUACCUGCAUGGGGGACCUCCUUUGUGAUGACCCAGGGGGCAUCCACAGCACACCGAGAUGAGACAGCUUGAUGGAUAUUGUGUUUCAGACUGAUACUAAGAUUAUGAAGGUAUACUUGUACACUUUUCUUCUGCACACAUUCUCCCAUCCUGAUGUGUAGGAGAAUGUGCUCAACCACCAAAGAGGCGUAGUUCUUUGAAGGUUUAGGCUAGCUGUCAAUCA